rnacentral:lncRNA from 1 species
AGCCACCCAGGCAUCCCUAAAAAAGUAUUUUUAAAUUGUAUUGUGUUCUCUCUCUCUCUCUCUCUUUUUUUCCUGGAUUCAGAAACUAGCAUUUCUGCAGUUUCAGUUUUUAAGCAUUCAUUUUCCUUUUUUGCUUCAUGGAACUAAUCAUAUUGUUUUGAGAUUGAGAGAAGUUUAGAACCUGUAAUGCAAUCCUAGCUGGAACUGUGCAGAAUUUUUGGAAUUCUUCAUGAAGGAAUUGUAAAGGAAGGCACACAGAAGAGGUGAAAGAAAUCUGAAGUUUCAGAAAUUGGUGACAUUUCUGCUUGGAGGACACAGAACAAAGGCUCAUGUGUUGCUUUUAGAUGUGAAGUGACUGUCUGACUCUAUUAAAUGCUGUAAUCAACAUGAAUUCUCUUUUGGCAGUGCGUUUAUUUAGCAUACUAACUCUGGAUGAGCUUAUAUUCUGGAGAGGACUGCAUCAAAUUCCAGAGAAUCAAGCCUAUUUUUCCAAGAUUGGACUUACCAUCUAUUAUGGAAUUUGAUCACAGUAUCUGGAAAAUGUUUUAGAAGUCAUCAAGUACAUCAAUUACUAUUUUCUUUUGUUGAAAAUAUAUGAGAGAUUAAAUUAAGUUCAAUAUGUAGGAUUUUAUUUUAUUUUAUUUUUUAUUUUAUUUUUUUAAUUUUUAUUUAUUUAUGAUAGUCACAGAGAGAAAG